CACACACAGCUAAUUUUUGCCAUCACACACAGCUAAUUUUUGUAUUUUUAGUAGAGAUGGGGUUUCACCAUGUUGGUCAGGCUGGUCUUGAACUUGUGGCCUCGUGAUCCACCUGCCUCAGCCUCCCAAACUGCUAGGAUUACAAGCGUGAGCCACCACACCCAGCAAUUAAAUUGCAUUUCUUAAGCACCCACCCUAAAGUUACUUAAUCAUAGCUGGAAUAUUUUCUGGCUCUUUGAAGUCAGGAUAGACAGCAGAUUUUGCAGAUAAAAUGCACAGGGCAUAAUAUGGCAUCAUAGCAAGGCCAGCUGUCUUCAUACCCAAAGGAUAUGGGAUUUUACAAUAUAUUUUCACUCUGAAUGAAGGUUUUGGGAUUCUCUGGCUCUUCUUAUAUCAGGUAAAGAACAGAGCAUGGUGGAAUGGACUUGAACUCUGAGUUUAGACAGAUCAAUCUUCUGAUUUGGAGUUCUUCUGAAAGUGACCUGGAGUCACUUUCUUCCUUUCUUAGAAUUUGUUCCUUCAUUUGCGAAGUGCGGUAAUACAUGUCUGACAGAGCUAUUGUGAAAAUGAGGAAAUAUGCAAAACAUAUUGCAGGUGCACAAAUGUCAGUUCCCUUCUGUUAUUGACGAGGAGUUGCCUCCACUUUAAUGAAAAGGAUUUUUAGUGUGACUAGGAUUCAGAAGUCCAUGAUGGUGGAAGAAGAUGAGACAGGGGAUGUUCCUGUUUGGGGCUCCACUGAAAGCCUCUGGUGCAAUUUCCUUUGCUAUAGCAUUAAAACACACUUACUGAAGAAAAAAGAAAAAACAGUGGACUAGGAAGUGAGGGUUCUGUUUCCAGCUCUGGCCCUUGCUAGUGACUUGGAUGCCCUUGGGUAAGUCUCUUAACCUCCCUAAGACUAGUUUUCUUCUUCUGUAAGUUAAGAAUUAUGAUAUUAAUGGGUCUAUUGUGAGGUUCAAAUGAAAUAAUGGUAGUUAAAGUGCUUUAUAAACAAUAAAGCACCCUACAGAACUAGGGUAAUAUUAAUG
rnacentral:lncRNA from 1 species